rnacentral:rRNA from 1 species
CACGUACGCGAGCACCGUACAAGUAGUAGCCGCGCCGCCGCGCCCGAGGAACCUCUGAGCUCGCCGCCGUUCGCGCGACGGGCUGCCAUCCGCGCCUCCCGCCGCAGCACGCCGCAAUGGAGGCCGAGCCCCCAUGGUGGUACCCGAGAUCACCUCCCAGCCGCUGUUCUCCUUCGAAUUCGUCGGGAUCCGGCCGGAUCCGGCAGGAUCCGGACGUCGGCAACCAAUUCACGACCUCCUCGCCUCGCCUGGGUCGUUGGCCACUCCGAUGUCAUCAUCUCGCUCGCGAGAUCCAGCGCUACCGAUGGCUGGCCUCCUCCUCGCCUGGAUGUGACGUCCCCACACCGGCGCCUCCAACUUGAGCAGCAGCAGUGAACACGUCGGCAAGGGCGUCUCCGGCAUCGUCAUUAUUUUUAUUUUAUUUUAAAGAAGUUUGCCUCGCCAGAAAAGCAUAGCGACGAACUCUGAUUGAUUCCCCGCGAGCGCUGGGCGGUGCUUGAUGUGGUGGCUUUAGGCCUUGUACAAUGGGAGAUGCUUAGGGGAGGUGCUUAGAGAAAUAAACCAGACUUAUUUGUACAGGAUAGACGCUUAACUAAGCGUCUCUCCGGUAGAAAUAGGCACCGGUAUUUCAGAAAAUUUCGGUUUAUUUUUCUAAGCACCCCUCUAAGCAUCUCUCAUUGUACAAGGCCUUAGAGUGCCAAUUCUGGAAACAACAAUCUAUAAUUCCAAGUUUUUUUCGGUGUAUUUCUUCCUUCUUUAUAAACAAGUUAUUCAUGUGUUUAUGCGAUUUCCUUUAUUCUUAUAUAAGGCAAUGGGC